GUAGGUGGCAAGCGUUGUCCGGAAUUAUUGGGCGUAAAGCGCGCGCAGGCGGUCCUUUAAGUCUGAUGUGAAAGCCCACGGCUCAACCGUGGAGGGUCAUUGGAAACUGGGGGACUUGAGUACAGAAGAGGAAAGCGGAAUUCCAAGUGUAGCGGUGAAAUGCGUAGAGAUUUGGAGGAGCACCAGUGGCGAAGGCGGCUUUCUGGUCUGUAACUGACGCUGAGGCGCGAAAGCGUGGGGAGCAAACAGGGAUUAGAUACCCUGGUAGUCCACGCCGUAAACGAUGAGUGCUAAGUGUUAGGGGGUUUCCGCCCCCUUAGUGCUGCAGCUAACGCAUUAAGCACUCCGCCUGGGGAGUACGGCCGCAAGGCUG
rnacentral:rRNA from 1 species